rnacentral:ncRNA from 1 species
GCGUAGGAGAGAGCAGUGGCCCGGCCGCUGCCGCCGAAGGCGCAAUUCCCGCCCGGAAACGCUCAGGCUCAUGGACUAC